rnacentral:rRNA from 1 species
GAUGAACGCUGGCGGCGUGCCUAAUACAUGCGAGUCGAGCGAACAGACGAGGAGCUUGCUCCUCUGACGUUAGCGGCGGACGGGUGAGUAACACGUGGAUAACCUACCUAUAAGACUGGGAUAACUUCGGGAAACCGGAGCUAAUACCGGAUAAUAUAUUGAACCGCAUGGUUCAAUAGUGAAAGACGGUUUUGCUGUCACUUAUAGAUGGAUCCGCGCCGCAUUAGCUAGUUGGUAAGGUAACGGCUUACCAAGGCAACGAUGCGUAGCCGACCCGAGAGGGUGAUCGGCCACACUGGAACUGAGACACGGUCCAGACUCCUACGGGAGGCAGCAGUAGGGAAUCUUCCGCAAUGGGCGAAAGCCUGACGGAGCAACGCUGCGUGAGUGAUGAAGGUCUUCGGAUCGUAAAACUCUGUUAUUAGGGAAGAACAAAUGUGUAAGUAACUAUGCACGUCUUGACGGUACCUAAUCAGAAAGCCACGGCUAACUACGUG